rnacentral:rRNA from 1 species
UUAUGGCUCAGGAUGAACGCUAGCGGCAGGCUUAAUACAUGCAAGUCGUGGGGCAGCAUGAGUGUAGCAAUACAUUUGAUGGCGACCGGCAAACGGGUGCGGAACACGUACUGAACCUUCCUUUAAGUGGGGAAUAGCCCAGAGAAAUUUGGAUUAAUACCCCGUAAUAUAUAGAAGUGGCAUCACUUUUAUAUUAAAGCUCCGGCGCUUAAAGAUGGCAGUGCGGCUGAUUAGGUAGUUGGCGGGGUAACGGCCCACCAAGCCGACGAUCAGUAACUGGUGUGAGAGCACGACCAGUCACACGGGCACUGAGACACGGGCCCGACUCCUACGGGAGGCAGCAGUAAGGAAUAUUGGUCAAUGGACGCAAGUCUGAACCAGCCAUGCCGCGUGGAGGAUGAAGGUCCUCUGGAUUGUAAACUUCUUUUAUCUGGGAAGAAACCCAUCUUUUCUUGGAUGGUUGACGGUACCAGAUGAAUAAGCACCGGCUAACUCCGUGCCAGCAGCCGCGGUAAUACGGAGGGUGCAAGCGUUAUCCGGAUUCACUGGGUUUAAAGGGUGCGUAGGUGGGCAGGUAAGUCAGCGGUGAAAUCUCCGGGCUUAACCCGGAAACUGCCAUUGAUACUAUCUGUCUUGAAUACCCUGGAGGUGAGCGGAAUAUGUCAUGUAGCGGUGAAAUGCUUAGAUAUGACAUAGAACACCCAUUGCGAAGGCAGCUCACUACGGGAAUAUUGACACUGAGGCACGAAAGCGUGGGGAUCAAACAGGAUUAGAUACCCUGGUAGUCCACGCCCUAAACGAUGGAUACUCGACAUCAGCGAUAAACUGUUGGUGUCUGAGCGAAAGCAUUAAGUAUCCCACCUGGGAAGUACGAUCGCAAGAUUGAA